rnacentral:rRNA from 1 species
UACAGGGGGGUGCAAACGUUGCUCGGAAUUAUUGGGCGUAAAGCGCGCGUAGGCGGCUACCUAAGUCGGGUGUGAAAGCCCUCAGCUCAACUGAGGAAGUGCGCCCGAAACUGCAGAGCUUGAGUACCGGAGAGGAUGGCGGAAUUCCCCAAGUAGAGGUGAAAUUCGUAGAUAUGGGGGAGGAACACCGGUGGCGAAGGCGGCCAUCUGGACGGAUACUGACGCUGAGACGCGAAAAGCGUGGGGGAGCAAACAGG